UACGUAGGGCGCAAGCGUUGUCCGGAAUUAUUGGGCGUAAAGAGCUCGUAGGCGGCUUGUCACGUCGAUUGUGAAAGCCCGAAGCUUAACCUCGGGUCUGCAGUCGAUACGGGCUAGCUAGAGUGUGGUAGGGGAGAUCGGAAUUCCUGGUGUAGCGGUGAAAUGCGCAGAUAUCAGGAGGAACACCGGUGGCGAAGGCGGAUCUCUGGGCCAUUACUGACGCUGAGGAGCGAAAGCGUGGGGAGCGAACAGG
rnacentral:rRNA from 1 species